GAUGAACGCUAGCGGCAGGCUUAACACAUGCAAGUCGAGGGGUAGUCAUCUUCGGAUGAUGAGACCGGCGCACGGGUGCGUAACGCGUAUACUUUCUACCUUUUACAGAGGGAUAGCCCAGAGAAAUUUGGAUUUGAACCUCUCAGAAUUGCAAAAUGGCAUCAUUCGACAAUUAAAGUCACAACGGUGAAAGAUGAGCAUGCGUCCCAUUAGCUUGUUGGUAAGGUAACGGCUUACCAAGGCUACAACGGGUAGGGGGCCUGAGAGGGAGAUCCCCCACACUGGUACUGAGACACGGACCAGACUCCUACGGGAGGCAGCAGUGAGGAAUAUUGGUCAAUGGACGCAAGUCUGAACGAGCCCAUGCCGCGUGCAGGAUGACGGCCCUAUGGAUUGUAACCUGCUUUUGCGCAAGAAGAAACAACAUUUCAUGUAAUGUCUUGACGGUACUGUGAGAAUAAGAAUCGGCUAUCUCCUUGCUGGCAGCCGCGGUAGUACUAGAGGAUCCAAGCGCUAUCAGGAAUCAUUGUGGGUAAAAGGGCCGUACGCGGUUUUAUUAUGUCAGUGGUGAAAACCCAUCGCUCUACGUUGGAACUCGCUGUUGAUACCGCUAAACUUGAAAUAUUAAGAAGUACCUAGAAUAUGUAGUGUAUCGGUGAAAUGCGUAAUAGAUUACAUGGAAUACCAAUUGCNAAGGCAGGUUAAUACUAAUGGAUGGACGCUGAUGGACAAAGCGUGAGUAGCGAAGAUGAUCACUUUCCUGGUAGUCCCCGCCACUAUCCAUGUAGACCACCUCUGGAGCAACUUGUAGUGACUAAACGAACGUGAUGAGUAUCCCACCUGGGGGAGUACGUUCGCAGGGAU
rnacentral:rRNA from 1 species